GGUCACCCAGCCAGUUUGUGGCAGAGCUAGAGCUGGACUUUGUCUAGCCCACCAUUAUGUUUUCAUUCUCUGUACCCAGAGGAUGCAUCCCGGCCCUGCUGUGGGUGCCAGGGUGAGCCCUAACCUCCCUGCCUGCAUGCUGCGUGGCUAGAGUCAAAGCACUCAGACUCCAGGCCCGGGUUCAACACUACCUGCCGAAAGUCUCGGGUGAGUCCUUUUAUUCCUCAGGUGCCACAUUUUCUUCACUUAAGCACGGAAAUAAUACCAUCAGCUCGCUCUCCCUGGCUGUAUUGUUGCAAAGGUCUGAGUUCCUUGAUGCCUGCCUUCUCCUCUCCGCGUGUCACACUCUUCUUACCUCUAAUAUCCGCAGUUUUCGUCGCACUUAGUGGGAGGAACAGGACAAAGUACAUGUAGCCCAUCUUUUUGGAAGCAAAAGGCCCCAGCGUGUUGUUCUUUUUUAAACAUGAACUGGCGUCAUCUGUCCUCUGCUGACCCCUUGUCACACCCCGCGUCGUGCUGAGGCUCGGGUCCCAGCUCCCCACGAAGCCGCCCCCCGCUCCUGCCCAUCCCUGUGCCCACACCGCCACCACCACCGCCACCGCCACCGAACAUAAGCGCUUCUUACCCUCCACGCACUUAUGUGCGAUGAGCAUGAGGCAGAGAAGCUGAGGCCCGAAGAGACUCAGCAGUGACUUCCGGCCACCCAGCAGCUGCGGAGCCUGCAGGCCUGGAAGCCACCUGCCAGCGGCUCCCAGGCUCCUCGGGAAAUGGGCAUCGGACUCCUCCGAGGGUUUGGAAACACCGGGUGCUGGGUCCACCCCUGCAGGUGCUGACUCAGCCAGUCUGCGAUGGGGUUUCCGAAUUCGCAUUCUUAACGAGCUCCCAGGUCAUGCCAGUUGUGCUGUCUGGAAGCCACACUUUGCAAACCACUCAGCUUUGUGCCUUCUUCACCCCCGUUUGCUCUGCUAACUGCUCCACUGCCUUUUCCAUUCAGGGCAGGUCUUGGCUCACCUGAUUUGACCUCCUCUUCCUUUCACCCUCAGAUAUUCCUCCCAGGCUCCCCUAGCAGUCUCUCUGUGUAUCUUAAUCAUUGUCGUUGCCACAGCGUGUAGGAAUGAUCUGUUUGUCUCAUUUCCAGCCCCCGCCCCCCUGGAGGGCAGAGAGGUUAGUGCGGAGCACAGUAUAUAUUAUUCAUCUCCUCAGGGUCACCUGGGGUGAUGCUGAAGAGAUUCUUGAGCCCAACCCCCUGAAUUUCUGAGUCAGUGGAUCUGGGGUGGGGCUCGAGAAUCUUCACUGUAAACAAACAACUUACACAAUUUCCAGGCAGUUGGCCUACUUUGAGAUACUUCCCUACAACGUUGCUUCGUGUUUGGUACUGAGUGCUCAGUGGGUCUGUAUGAACUGGACUUGACUGAACUGAACUUGGAAGUGAAAUGGUAACCCCCGACCUCCUUUGCUGCGCUUUCUCCCAACGUCUCCGCAUUACUACCAUGAUGGCAAGGUUUUGGCUCUUCCUCCUGAAGCCUAAGGGGCAUGUCCCUGUACUACCUCUCCCUCGCCCCAAAUUCUUCCUCUUUUUCCCUCUUCAAUCAGAACUCAUAUUCAAAAAAAAAAAAAAAAAAGAACUCAUAUUCACAUGCUGCACCUGGAAACAUUGAAACAAUUUUUGUCAAGGGCACUCUUCUUAAUUUUCUAGAAUAUUGAGACAUAAGUUACGUAGAGUAGAGCGCAUAAAUCUUAGGUGUUCCUGUGAGCACACCCACGUAGCCACCAGUUGGAUCCUGAUAUGGGGCAUUUCAACCCUCAGAAGACUUCUCGCUCGACUCCCUCUGCGGCAUCCAGUUCUGACUUCACAUAUCCGUGUUGCCUGUUCUCGAAUUUCUCACAAAUGACAUGGUACCAAACGUGCACUUUUGUAUCUGGCCCCUCGUCCCUCACCCUGUGUAUGUGAGUCGGUGUAUAGCAUUAGCUCUUUUUCACUGCUGUGCUGUAUUCCACGUUGUGAAUAGAAAACAACCAACUAUUCUUAGGUCGGUUAUGUUUGUUUGGUUGGCUUACUUUUUAUUGUGAUAAAAUAUAUAUGACACGAAAUUUACCGUUUUAACCACU